rnacentral:misc_RNA from 1 species
GAUGAAGAACGUAGCGAAAUGCGAAAAGUAAUGUGAAUUGCAGAAUUCAGUGAACCAUCGAAUGUUUGAACGCACAUUGCGCCCGCUGGAACUCCGGCGGGCACGCCUGUCCGAGCGUCAUUUCAACCCUCAGGCCCCCCUUCGCGGGCGGGCCUGGUGUUGGGGCCCGGCCGCUACCCUGCGGCCGUCCCCUAAAUCCAGUGGCGGCCUCGCCGUGAUCCCUUGCGUAGUAAUGCACCUCGCACCGGAGAGCGCCGUGGCCACGCCGUAAAACCCCCAAUUUUCAAUGGUUGACCUCGGAUCAGGUGGGAAUACCCGCUGAACUUAAGCAUAUCAAUAAGCGGAGGA